CCUACGGGUGGCAGCAGUGAGGAAUAUUGGUCAAUGGGCGCGAGCCUGAACCAGCCAAGCAGCGUGAAGGAUGAAUGCACUGCGGGUUGUAAACUUCUUUUGUCAGGGAAUAAAGUGAGGGACGUGUGCCUUUUUGUAUGUACUUUAUGAAUAAGGAUCGGCUAACUCCGUGCCAGCAGCCGCGGUAAUACGGAGGAUCCGAGCGUUAUCCGGAUUUAUUGGGUUUAAAGGGAGCGUAGAGGGGUUGUUAAGUCAGUUGGGAAAGUUUGGGGCUCAACCGUAAACUUGCAAUUGAUACUGGCAGCCUUGAGUACAGUAGAGGUAGGCGGAAUUCGUGGUGUAGCGGUGAAAUGCAUAGAUAUCACGAAGAACUCCGAUUGCGAAGGCAGCUUACUAAACUGCCACUGACAUUGAUGCUCGAAAGUGUGGGUAUCAAACAGGAUUAGAUACCCGAGUAGUC
rnacentral:rRNA from 1 species